rnacentral:rRNA from 1 species
UAGUAUGGGGAUCUGCCCGAUAGAGGGGGAUAACUACUGGAAACGGUGGCUAAUACCGCAUAAUGUCUACGGACCAAAGCAGGGGCUCUUCGGACCUUGCACUAUCGGAUGAACCCAUAUGGGAUUAGCUAGUAGGUGGGGUAAAGGCUCACCUAGGCGACGAUCUCUAGCUGGUCUGAGAGGAUGAUCAGCCACACUGGGACUGAGACACGGCCCAG